rnacentral:misc_RNA from 1 species
UUUUUUUUUUUUUUUUUUUAAAAAAAUUCAAUUUUUUAUUACCACCAGGAGAAACUGGCAACCACUAGCAGGAUCAGUCCAUUAGAAUUGCAGGCCUAAGCAUAAAAAUAUUGGCCACUUCCAGGUCCUGCUUUAAUAUAUUGAAUCCACCUCUACAUGUUCUGGAAGGUGUGAUUUAAGUAUUCACAGUACCAUUCUUCUAAAUCAAAGUUGAAGAAUGAUGAUCAAUGAAGAAACACGACGACAAUAUGAUUAAAGGGGAAAAAAAUGUGGAGGGGUUGCAAUGAAGCCCAAAAAAAACAAAGAAAUCUUUCCUAUGGCAAGAUGCUCAACUUAACGAUAACGUGAAUGCGAGGCAGCAAGGAGAGCAGCUCCGAUGCCAGAUCCAUCAUUGGAGUGCACAAUCUCAAUGGUUUUGGACACUUCUUCUCCAAGCAAUUCAUUAAGAGUAUUCUCCAUGCAUUUGCUAUACUCACUAUAGUGUUCAUACAAUCCACCAUCCAAGGCUAUCACUGUACUCUGUUUAUCCCCCUCUUUGACUGUAUCCUUCCCCAUUUUCUUCAGGAUGCCUAAAAUUCCAGCUGCUGCUAGUCGUGCUCCACGGGUGGCAACAAUGUUGCAGAGCUCAACAACUACUUUUCUUGUUUUCAACGAGGUAUUAUAUAUCUCUAAAAUAUCCUUCAAUUUACUCCCCACCACUUCAAGAUCAGAAGAUGUAUCAUGAUGCAUUGCUGACAUAUCAGGUGUUCUUAAUAUGAAAGGAAUUUUAAGUUUGGAGGGAAGAAUGUCACCGAAAAAAGCAGCUUCUUCAGCCAUAUUUAGAAGAACUCUGCGUACAAUUUCUCCCAGGUACAUACCAGAAAUUAUCUUCUCAAAGAUCUGUUCACCAGGAUUUAAACUUUCAACAUCCAAUGCAAGGUCAUAAUCAGUAAGAGGAAGAUGUGAUGACCUAAAGUUACCCCACUCCAUAUUGAUAACCAUCUCGCCAGAUUCAGGUAAAGCACCAUGCCAUUUUGGUAUUGCUUGUGCACAUUCCACAUAAGCAGCAUUUGUCCCAGUACCUAAGAUCACAGCAGCAAUAACAUCCUUGUUGAAGUAUUUGCCUCCAGCUAGGGUUCCAACUGUAUCAUUGACCAGAGCUGACACGUGCAUAUGAACACCCUGUCUUUCCAUCGCUUUGGUCAAUUGCACCACGACAUCUUGGCCAACAGUGUCAUCUAUAGAGAAGCCUUUUGUCCACCUAACAAGAGUCCCAGAAGCGAUGGAUGUUUGUAUAACAGGAAAUGAGAAGGUGAAACCCAAUUCCCUCAUUUUACCAGGCGGACUUUGAAGCUCUUCACCUUCUUGAGCAACAAAUUUUGCUAGUUCUGCUGCAAUAUAGUCAAACAGUGCAUUUGAUGUCCCAGUCAUCAAAUUUGGAGGAAUAGGCACCUCUGCAAAUUCUUGAUUAACCAGACGACCAUCCUUGCCCCCAAGUUUCACCCGCAAUACACGGAAGUUUGUUCCGCCAAGAUCCAAUGCGUAAAACAAUCCAUUCUCAUCACCAGUAGGCAAAUUAUCGACAUAGCUGAUGAGCAUCUUAAGUUUGCUUCCACCUUCCGAGACCAGCAUGCAUCUCCACAAGCAUGGCAUCAGCAACCUGCUUCAGCUUUCCAAUAGGGGUGGCACAUUUUUCCUCCAUCUCUUUCACUAUUUCUAUUGCUCUGGCCCACUUACCAUCCUUCCUCAUUUUUCGCUUGACAACGAAGGCCGCCGUGACAGCCCCAGCCACAGCGGCGGCACACACUACAGCCAACACCACCUUCUUCUCCAUUAUGGCCGAGAAAAAGAAAUGAAACUCAGAGCCCAACACCCAGAGAUCUUUGCAGAAAGAAGGUUGUUUGUGAUAAUUAGAUUAGUAAACGAAGAUUUGGAGGAUGAGAGAGAGAUCUAUGUAAGGAAUUGGUGAAAGUGAAAAGUUGAAUCUUGGCAAGCGUAUUUAAGUUGGAUCUUUUUUUUGUUUUGGUUUUGUCGGCCAUAAUGGAG